GGAGUCGGACAGGCGGCCGCAGCGGGCAACCGCUGAGGAAAGUCCGGACUCCACAGGGCAGGCUGCUGGGUAACUCCCAGGCGUGGUGACACGCGGAAAGCGCAACAGAGAGCAGUCCGCCGAUGGCCGUCUCCGGACGGCACAGGUGAGGGUGAAACGGUGGGGUAAGAGCCCACCGGCGUCGCUGGUGACAGCGGCGGCCAGGCAAGCCCCAGUCGGAGCAAGACCGAGCAGGGACAUGGGUGGCCCGCCCGUUAGGCGGGCAGCGAGGUCCCGUACCGAGCUGCUCGACACGAUCCCAGGUAGGUCGCUCGAGGCGGCGGGCAACCGUCGCCCUAGAUAGAUGGUCGCCACCCGCAGGUCCGCCUGCGGGGACAGGAUCCGGCUUACCGUCCGACUCCUCCA
rnacentral:RNase_P_RNA from 1 species